rnacentral:rRNA from 1 species
GACGAACGCUGGCGGCGUGCUUAACACAUGCAAGUCGAACGGAAAGGCCCUGCUUUUGUGGGGUGCUCGAGUGGCGAACGGGUGAGUAACACGUGAGUAACCUGCCCUUGACUUUGGGAUAACUUCAGGAAACUGGGGCUAAUACCGGAUAGGAGCUCCUGCUGCAUGGUGGGGGUUGGAAAGUUUCGGCGGUUGGGGAUGGACUCGCGGCUUAUCAGCUUGUUGGUGGGGUAGUGGCUUACCAAGGCUUUGACGGGUAGCCGGCCUGAGAGGGUGACCGGCAACAUUGGGACUGGGAUACGGCCAAGACUCUUACGGGAGGCAGCAGUGGGGAAUAUUGAACAAUGGGCGGAAGCCUGAUGCAGCAACGCCGCGUGCGGGAUGACGGCCUUCGGGUUGUAAACCGCUUUCGCCUGUGCCGAAGCGUGAGUGACGGUAUGGGUAAAGAAGCACCGGCUAACUACGUG